CUUGCAAACUAAAGAUGGCGACCGGCGCACGGGUGAGUAACACGUACCCAACCUGCCGAUAACUCGGGGAUAGCCUUUCGAAAGAAAGAUUAAUAUCCGAUAGUAUAUUAAAACCGCAUGGUUUUACUAUUAAAGAAUUUCGGUUAUCGAUGGGGAUGCGUUCCAUUAGUUUGUUGGCGGGGUAACGGCCCACCAAGACUACGAUGGAUAGGGGUUCUGAGAGGAAGGUCCCCCACAUUGGAACUGAGACACGGUCCAA
rnacentral:rRNA from 1 species